CUCAUAGUAUGUGAGGAUCGGCAUCUAUUUCACAUUAAAGUCACAACGGCAAAAGAUGAGCAUGCGUCCCAUUAGCUAGUUGGUAAGGUAACGGCUUACCAAGGCUACGAUGGGUAGGGGGUCCUGAGAGGGAGAUCCCCCACACUGGUACUGAGACACGGACCAGACUCCUACGGGAGGCAGCAGUGAGGAAUAUUGGACAAUGGGCGCAAGCCUGAUCCAGCCAUGCCGCGUGCAGGAUGACGGUCCUAUGGAUUGUAAACUGCUUUUGUACAGGAAGAAACACUACUUCGUGAAGUAGCUUGACGGUACUGUAAGAAUAAGGAUCGGCUAACUCCGUG
rnacentral:rRNA from 1 species